rnacentral:rRNA from 1 species
ACAGUGGCGCACGGGUGAGUAACACGUGGGUGAUCUGCCCAGAAGAAGGGGAUAACCUCUCGAAAGGGGGGCUAAUACCGCAUAGGACCACCGGGGCUUUGGCUCUGUGGUGAAAGGGGGCCUCUGUUUACAAGCUCCUGCUUCUGGAUGAGCCCGCGUCCCAUCAGCUAGUUGGUAGGGUAAUGGCCUACCAAGGCUACGACGGGUAGCUGGUCUAAGAGGAUGGCCAGCCACACUGGAACUGAGACACGGUCCAGACUCCUACGGGAGGCAGCAGUGGGGAAUCUUGCGCAAUGGGCGAAAGCCUGACGCAGCGACGCCGCGUGGGUGACGAAGGCCUUCGGGUUGUAAAGCCCUGUGGGGUAGAACGAACUGGCAUCCGGGCUAACUAUCCGGUGUCUUGACGGUACUGCCUUAGCAAGCAUCGGCUAACUCUGUGCCAGCAGCCGCGGUAAGACAGAGGC